rnacentral:rRNA from 1 species
GACGAACGCUGGCGGCGUGCCUAAUACAUGCAAGUCGAGCGAACAUUUGAGAGCUUGCUCUCAAAUGUUAGCGGCGGACGGGUGAGUAACACGUGGGCAACCUGCCUAUAAGACUGGGAUAACUUCGGGAAACCGGAGCUAAUACCGGAUAAUUCACAUCUACUCAUGUAGAUGUGCUGAAAGACGGUUUACGCUGUCACUUAUAGAUGGGCCCGCGGCGCAUUAGCUAGUUGGUGAGGUAACGGCUCACCAAGGCCACGAUGCGUAGCCGACCUGAGAGGGUGAUCGGCCACACUGGGACUGAGACACGGCCCAGACUCCUACGGGUGGCAG